CGUGAGGGAAAGGUGAAAAGAACCCCGGGAGGGGAGUGAAAUAGAACCUGAAACCCUGCACUUACAAGCUGUGGAAGCACAUUUCUUGUGUGACCGCGUACUUUUUGUAGAACGGGCCAACGAGUUACGUUAAGUAGCAAGGUUAAGCACUUAAGGUGUGGAGCCGUAGCGAAAGCGAGUUUUAACUGAGCGUUCAGUUACUUGACGUAGACCCGAAACCGGGCGACCUACCCAUGAGCAGGAUGAAGCGAAAGUAAAAUUUCGUGGAGGUCCGAACCCACGAGCGUUGAAAAGCUCGGGGAUGACUUGUGGGUAGCGGUGAAAUUCCAAUCGAGCCCGGAGAUAGCUGGUUCUCCCCGAAAUAGCUUUAGGGCUAGCCUCAAGGUGAGAGAUACGGAGGUAGAGCACUGAAUGUCCUAGGGGGUAUUGCACCUACCGAAGACUAUCAAACUCCGAAUGCCGUCAUCUUAUACUUGGGAGUCAGACUGUGGGUGAUAAGAUUCAUAGUCGAAAGGGCAACAGCCCAGAUCGUCAGCUAAGGUCCCUAAAUGUAAGUUAAGUGGUAAAGGAUGUGGGAUUGCACAGACAACCAGGAUGUUGGCUUAGAAGCAGCCACUCAUUCAAAGAGUGCGUAAUAGCUCACUGGUCGAGUGAUCCUGCGCCGAAGAUUUCCGGGGCUAAAACUUACUACCGAAGCUACGGCAUCAGUAAUGAUGGGUAGGGGAGCUUCCCAUACGGGUUGAAGCAUGACCGUAAGGACAUGUGGACAGUAUGGGAGUGAGAAUGUUGGCAUGAGUAGCGAGAUGUGGGUGAGAAUCCCACAGGCCGUAAACCCAAGGUUUCCAGGGGAAGGUUCGUCCGCCCUGGGUUAGUCGGGACCUAAGCUGAGGCCGAAAGGCGUAGGUGAUGGACAACAGGUUGAUAUUCCUGUACUACCGAUAACCGUUUGAGAGAAGGGAUGACACAGUAGGAUAAGCUAAGCACACUGUUGGUUAUGUGUGCCCAAGCAUUGAGGCAGUCAAAGUAGGCAAAUCCGCUUUGAUAAUGCUGGGAUGUGAUGGGGAGCGAAAUUUAGUAGCGAAGUAGCUGAUUUCACACUGUCAAGAAAAGUCUCUAUCGAGGUUAAAGGUACCCGUACCGCAAACCGACACAGGUGGGUGAGGAGAGUAUCCUAAGGCCAGCGAGAGAACUGUUGUUAAGGAACUCGGCAAAAUGACCCCGUAACUUAGGGAUAAGGGGUGCCACCAUCAGGUGGCCGCAGAGAAUAGGCCCAAGCGACUGUUUACCAAAAACAUAGGUUUCUGCUAAGUCGCAAGACGAUGUAUAGGAGCUGACGCCUGCCCGGUGCUGGAAGGUUAAGGGGAUCUGUUAGAGCAAUCGAAGCAGUGAACUUAAGCCCCAGUAAACGGCGGCCGUAACUAUAACGGUCCUAAGGUAGCGAAAUUCCUUGUCGGGUAAGUUCCGACCCGCACGAAAGGCGUAACGAUUUGGGCACUGUCUCAACAACAGACUCGGUGAAAUUGUAAUUCCGGUGAAGAUGCCGGAUACCUGCGACAGGACGGAAAGACCCCAUGGAGCUUUACUGUAGCUUGACAUUGGGUCUUGGUACUACAUGUACAGGAUAGGUGGGAGGCUUUGAAACCAGGACGCCAGUUUUGGCGGAGCCAUCCUUGGGAUACCACCCUUGUAGUACUGGGACUCUAACCAUAGGCCAUGAAUCUGGUCUUGGGACACUGUCAGGUGGGCAGUUUGACUGGGGCGGUCGCCUCCCAAAAGGUAACGGAGGCGCUCAAAGGUUCUCUCAGUACGGUCGGAAAUCGUACGUAGAGUGUAAAGGCAAAAGAGAGCUUGAUUGCAAGACAUACAGGUCGAGCAAGGAUGAAAAUCGGACUUAGUGAUCCGGUGGUUCUGCGUGGAAGGGCCAUCGCUCAACGGAUAAAAGCUACCCUGGGGAUAACAGGCUUAUCUCCCCCAAGAGUCCACAUCGACGGGGAGGUUUGGCACCUCGAUGUCGGCUCAUCACAUCCUGGGGCUGUAGUAGGUCCCAAGGGUUGGGCUGUUCGCCCAUUAAAGUGGUACGCGAGCUGGGUUCAGAACGUCGUGAGACAGUUCGGUCCCUAUCCGUCGCAGGCGUAGGAAAUUUGAGA
rnacentral:rRNA from 1 species